UUAUUACUUUUCCCUAGAACCUGUAUCCCCAGCAAUAAAAUGUUAAAAUAAGAACUUUGUUCUUAGAAAUACUGAUUACUUACGAUCUCUUUAGUACUCUUCAUAUGACUAAAACCAGAAUUAAAUCGAUGACUUCAAUGUGAUGAUGACUUCAAUUUCUCUGACUCAACUCGAUCGCUUCCUGUGCCCAAAGUUUAACUUCUUGCACCAACUGUCAGAUCUGUAGAAGUUCAGCAGCAAGAGAGACUGGGAUUAAGACUGUAGGAAAGGCUCGUGAAGGAGAUGGGCCUUGACCCAGGCCUUAGAAACAUAGAAGGAUUGGGAACUAACCUCAGAGAAGAGGGACUCUACAGAUAAGGAAAGCAGCUUGAGAGAAAAUACCAAAGUAUAAUGAUAAAGCAUGUGACUCACAGAGCUACUUCCCUGAGAGCAGCAGAGGUAUCUCUGGCAAACAGCUGCAACAAGCCUGAAUAAGAGGAGAAGGAUCUGAAAGCCAGACGUAAAAACUGAGACUUCCCAAAAUGAAAUGAAUUCCGGGUCCUAGUCAUCAAAUCAGAUGAAACAUUUAAAUGGACUUUUCGGUAAAUCUUUUCUGGGGGUAACUUCAGAUACCGAAAUCGACCUGGCAGGAUGAAGAGAAGCUUCUUACUCCUUUCCACAGAGAAUGCUUAGCAGACAUCAGAUGGUGAGGGACAUGAUAGAAAUGGCCAGCGAAAUGGCAACCAACACUGGCCAGGACAGGUAACAAUGAUGCUAUAACUCCAGUUACAUGAACUAUAACUCCAGGGACCAGUCCUCAAAUUCAAUGCCCAAAUAGGGUAAAUCUGUACCCAUUUGUCAAACUCAGGGUGUCACCUGACCAAAUCUAGUCAGAGGUAAGGUGUAGCACAUAUUUCUUUGGUUGACCACAGUAUAAUAUCCUGGAUCCAAAUGAACUUUCUUUGCACAGUAUUUAUUAUUCUAAUAAACCAAAUGGAAUGUUUAGAGAUGACUGGAGCAAUCUGAUUGGCAAACUUACAGGGCAUUAAUUCUUCCAAUGUGACCUGGUGCAUAAAAAGUGAAACUAUAGCACUCAUGUAAACAAUCCAUCUGCCUUAUUUCCCUCCCCCAGGCACCUCAAAUUUUCAGCUUAUGUUAGCUGUAAGACGAGCUAAUGUUUUUAGUGUAGAAAAAUGGCAUUAUCCCAAACAGAACUUACUUUAAGAAAAAGAGGAAAAAUUCUAUAGCCAUACAGAUUGUAUCAGUAGGUACCCAUGACCAAUGACUAAGAUGAAUCACUAUCACAUUUCAGCAGAUAGGUGAGACCAUGGCAUGAGCAUCUCAGAAACUAAAUACUAACUUAUUCCAGGCAUCAAAAGUUCCACUUUAAGUGGAAAACUGUGUGAUAACUUUUGCCCCUUAAAUAUGUACACUUUUGAACUGAUCCCAAAGAAAUGACUGCAAAUCAAUAAUACAGUCUAAUUGUCUCAUUCUUUCAAAACAGGUCCCUCCCUUCGGGUACUUUGAAAAUUAAAAGUGAAUGAUUGUCUUAUGAGGCAAACAAUUUAUCAAAGGAGUUGGAUAAGUCAAAUAUGAAAGCAGGACUUGGAUUUACGGGGCCAGAACCAAGAGACAGAGGCUCUUUCCAGGGGUCAAACAAACCAGAAAAAGAACAGAACACUGCAGCAUUCAUUGGAAUAGUGAAAAAUUAGGAGCCAUCUAAAUGUCCAUCGAUAACAAAUGGGUUAAAAACAUACAUAAUAUGUAUGCAUAUAUCAAAUGACUUCAUAAGCAGCUGUUAUAAAAGAAUGAAGUACAUUUUUCUGCAGCUUUUACAUAAAAGGAAACAAGUUGCAAAACAGGCUUCCCUGGUGGCACAGUGGUUAAGAAUCUGCCUGCCGGUGCAGGGGACACAGGUUCAAGCCCUGGUCCAGGAAGAUCCCACAUGCUGCAGAGCAACUAAGCCCGUGCGCCACAACUACUGAUCCUGUGCUCUAGAGCCCGCGAGCCACAAGUACUGAGCCCGCAUGCCACAACUACUGAAGCCCGCGCGCCUAGAACCCGUGCUCCACAACAAGAGAAGCCACCACAAUGAGAAGCCCACGAAGCCCAUGCACCACAGCGAAGAGUAGCCCCUGCUCGCAGCAACUAGAGAAAGCCCGCACACAGCAACGAAGACCCAAUGCAGCCAAAAAUA